UACGUGAGGGUGCGAGCGUUUGUCCGGAAUUAUUGGGGCGUAAAAGGGGCUCGUAGGCGGUCUGUCGCGUCGGGAGUGAAAACUCAAGGGCUUAACCCUGAGCCUGCUUCCGAUUACGGGCAUCACUGGAGUUCGGCAGGGGAGACUGGAAUUCCUGGUGUAGCGGUGAAAUGCGCAGAUAAUCAGGAGGAACACCAGUGGCGAAGGCGGCUCACUGGCCCGGUACUGACGCUGAGGUGCGAAAGCGUGGGGAGCAAACAGG
rnacentral:rRNA from 1 species